rnacentral:tRNA from 1 species
AGAAAUUUAGGUUUAACUAAACCAAGGGCCUUCAAAGCCCUAAAAGAAAGUACAAGCUCUCAAUUUCUG